rnacentral:lncRNA from 1 species
AUUUUAACCACCAGGACAUACCAGCUGGCUCACAGAGAGAUACUGGCUGCCGCACGUUAGCCAAAGUAAGGAGACCGCAGACAGGUGAGAUUAGAGCGUUAGUUUGUAUUUAUCAUUUUAUUGAUUAAUGACCCAAAUAACGAUUAGAUUAACUUUUCAAUUCUUAUAACCUGUAGCCAAUACAAUUCUCACACACACACCCUGACUGUUCCUCAACAUUAAAAAGUAAAAUCCAGGUUAAAUUUGGAUAGAAAUAACACUCCUAUAACACCGGGCAGUAAUGGUCGGGUGAAACUCGCAUUGAUUGUACAUUGUUAUUAUUAUUAUUAUUAUUUAUAAUGUACAUCUUUGCUCAAUUGUUGUCAUAGCAUGAAGGCUUGAGCUAUAAGAAGGAAGGUGGCCAGCUGGCAAAUAUAUAGGGAAUAGUUUACAAAUAGUGUGCACUCAAGACUGAAUUAGGGAGCAGACUAGCCACCUCCAGGAGUGUGCGUAUCGAGUGAUCAUCUUUUUAGCUAAAAAUAAAGAAUUGAUUGUUGUUGAGAUGUUUGUGCUGCGGUAACGAAACGUAAUACAGAGACAUCAUUUUUAUUGAAUAAUGGCUCAGUGCAAGAGUAGCUAAAAAACGAAUUCUGCAUAAUUCUCGUUAGUGAUCACAGUUAUUUAACCCCUUAAGGACCAAACUUCUGGAAUAAAAGGGAAUAAUGACAUGUCACACGUCAUGUGUUCGUAAGGGGUUAAUGGUGGAGUUUACUCUGUAUUUAUUCUGUUACUGGGAGUGCUGAGUGAAAGGGUUAAUCUGUAUUCAUUCUGUUACUGGGAGUGCUGAGUGAAAGGGUUAAUCUGUAUUCAUUCUUUUACUGGGAGUGCUGAGUGAAAGGGUUAAUCUGUAUUCAUUCUGUUACUGGGAGUGCUGAGUGAAAGGGUUAAUCUGUAUUCUUUCUGUUACUGGGAGUGCUGAGUGAAAAGGGUUAAUCUGUAUUCAUUCUGUUACUGGGAGUGCUGAGUGAAAGGGUUAAUCUGUAUUCAUUCUGUUACUGGGAGUGUUGAGUGAAAGGGUUAAUCUGUAUUCUUUCUGUUACUGGGAGUGCUGAGUGAAAAGGGUUAAUCUGUAUUCAUUCUGUUACUGGGAGUGCUGAGUGAAAGGGUUAAUCUGUAUUCAUUCUGUUACUGGGAGUGCUGAGUGAAAGGGUUAAUCUGUAUUCAUUCUGUUACUGGGAGUGCUGAGUGAACGGGUUAAUCUGUAUUCUUUCUGUUACUGGGAGUGCUGAGUGAAAAGGGUUAAUCUGUAUUCAUUCUGUUACUGGGAGUGCUGAGUGAAAGGGUUAAUCUGUAUUCAUUCUGUUACUGGGAGUGCUGAGUGAAAGGGUUAAUCUGUAUUUAUUCUGUUACUGGGAGUGCUGAGUGAAAGGGUUAAUCUGUAUUCAUUCUGUUACUGGGAGUGCUGAGUGAAAGGGUUAAUCUGUAUUCAUUCUGUUACUGGGAGUGCUGAGUGAAAGGGUUAAUCUGUAUCCUCUCUGUUACUGGGAGUGCUGAGUGAAAGGGUUAAUCUGUAUUUAUUCUGUUACUUGGAGUGCUGAGUGAAAGGAUUAAUCUGUAUUCAUUCUGUUACUAGGAGUUACUGAGUGCUGAGUAUAAGGGUUAAUCUGUAUUCAUUCUGUAACUAGGAGUGCUGAAUGAAAGGGUUAAUCUGUAUCCUCUCUGUUAUUGAGAGCGCAGAGUGAAAAGGUUAAUCUGUAGAGUCUCACUGCUCAAUUCUCUGCCAUUUAAAUCACUUUGUUUCUGCAAUCCUAGUUACACCUCUCUGCAUGUAACUCACAAAGUCUUCCUAAACAAUUCCUGUAUAGAGAGAUCUAAGAUUUACACUUCCUAGCUUGCACAUUCUGUUUAGUUUAUCAUUUCUUAUCUCCUGCUCUGUUAAUAGCCUUCUAGAUCCUACAGAAGCCUUCUUCUCUAUGUGAAUAAAGUUCAAAUUACAGAGCAGGAGAUACAAAGUUAAGUAAGAUUGGAAAUGAAACAAUGUUUCAUGCAGGUUGUGUCAGUCACAGCCAGGGGAGGUGAGGUUAGGGCUGUAUGAACAGAAAUAAAAGUGAUAUAAAUCCUAAAUGGCUAAAAAUUGAGCAGUGACACUACAAAUGCAUGACCUAUAUACCAAAACUGCCUCAUUAAGUGAGAGUUGUUUUGGUGACAAUAGUGUCCCUUUAUUAAAAAAUGCAGCCUUGCUUCCUGUGAGUGAAUAGUUUGUGCCUAUUGAUUAUUUUGAUUAUUUUGAUGUGGGAAUAGAUGGUGUAGACACCACAGCGGCCAUAUUGAUAAAUGAGAAAGAAACAUCUGGUUAAAUUACGAUACUUACUCUCACGUGUUAGAUUUUCCAAAUUGUCCAAACUGCACUUACACUCUGAUUUAAUAUUAAAUAAUAUGGGAUUUCAUGAUUUACUAUAAUGUUGACAUAUUCACCAUAUAAAUCUAUAUUUUGAAUAUAUAGCCAUUUAUCUGUUCAGAUCUGGGAAUUGGACUUUUGUCAAAUUAAUGUUUAUAUACUAAAGUGUUAUUUCUGCCCAACGCAUUUCAUACAAUUCUGGAACGUCUUAUGUUAGAAAUAUUUUGUAGGAGGUUUAAUCUAAUCAAGACGUUCCUCACUGUGAAAUCAAUCCAAUAUCAGUAUCAUGUAACAUUGUUCUUUGAUUUCUGCAGGUGAAUAUAUUUUUCUUAAAUCGAGAAGCAGAACGAGCCAUGGCUAAGGUUAUAAGGAAAGAUGGCGGCUCUGUAAAUAUACGCGGAAACAUGCCGGAAUCUUUAUCUGAUGAGACAAUCACAGUGGAUGUUACAGAAAUCCUGCCACCACCUUCACCAAUAUAUUUAUAUUACUUGGAAACCAAUCAUUUACCAUUUGAUGGACAAACCAAUAGAAAAACUUUUAUUCCCUCCAAUAUCAUGUGUAUGGCUUGCUACUUACCUGGAAAUGGGGACAAAGAAUGGUGUAAAAAGAAUUGUUACCACUGAGUAACAUAAAUACAAUAAGCACUUUGUUUUUAAAAGAAACUGUUACAUAAAAAUAUCCUCUAAUAAAAUCCUUCAUUAAAAC